rnacentral:rRNA from 1 species
UACGUAGGGGGCGAGCGUUGUCCGGAAUUAUUGGGCGUAAAGAGCUCGUAGGCGGUUUGUCGCGUCUGCCGUGAAAGUCCGGGGCUCAACUCCGGAUCUGCGGUGGGUACGGGCAGACUAGAGUGAUGUAGGGGAGACUGGAAUUCCUGGUGUAGCGGUGAAAUGCGCAGAUAUCAGGAGGAACACCGAUGGCGAAGGCAGGUCUCUGGGCCACUACUGACGCUGAGAAGCGAAAGCAUGGGGAGCGAACAGG